CAACCCUCAAGCCCCCUGUGGACUUGGUGUUGGGGACCGGCGACAAUCACCUGUCGCCGCCCCCUAAAUGAAUUGGCGGCCCCGUCCCGGCCCUCCUCUGCGUAGUAGCAUACACCUCGCAACAGGAGCCCGUCGGUGGCCACUGCCGUAAAACACCCCAAACUUUUUUAG
rnacentral:misc_RNA from 1 species